GCAGGAAGCAGAGUCCUAGCUGUAAGCUACUGCAGAGACAAGAGACAAGAUGACCAGGCAUGGGAAGUAAACUCAAAGCAUGAAGUUAAUGGGCAACACUGGGCCCCAGCUCUCAGCAAGUGGUCAUUCACACCUUCAAACUCAAGAGCAUCCUCUAGCCACACCUCGAGGACCCUUUAGACUCCCUGGUGCAAUGUGGCUGAUUUACUGUCAGGCAUCCCGAUCGAUCGAUCUUCUUUUCCCCUGAUAAGACUAUAAAGUGCUCGCAAGCAGAGGUCAAAGAGCACAGUUGGAUUCCCCACUGUGCAGCACAGGAGUCCCCACAUAGUCAGCUUUCCAUAAACUCCUCGGGCAUUCAGUUGUCAAUACAGUGGUCCACCCCACUGAGCACCCCUGAUUUUCUGACCUGGCAGAAGACACAGGUUCUCAGGCCUGCACUCAAAACACCCAUGGACCCCUUGGGAUUCCAAGUUCUCAAAAAGAAAACACUAUGCUAGGCGAUCACCUGGAAUCCCAGCACACUAUGGAAGGAAAGGCAACUGUGACACACAACUCGGAGUGGAGUCCAUUACACAGAAGACACGGGAAGCAGCUACGGAUGGAACAGAACGUUCUAACCAGAGGGCCUAGCCAUCUGAGCACUCUUCAUUUGUAGAGCCUUUCCACAGUCCUUCUCGAGAUUAGACAUGGGGGAUCUCAGCAGAAACCAGAACUCUAGUAACAAGUUUUCUCCAUGACUCUGCUGGGGGAAGUCAAAAUGACAACCUUUAUGCCUCUCCCUGCUUCCUGUAGCACCCCCAUUGUGAGUGUUGUGUGGAUGAAUAAAAGUCCCCCCGCC
rnacentral:lncRNA from 1 species